rnacentral:rRNA from 1 species
UACGAAGGGGGCUAGCGUUGCUCGGAAUCACUGGGCGUAAAGCGCACGUAGGCGGCUUCUCAAGUCAGGGGUGAAAUCCUGGAGCUCAACUCCAGAACUGCCUUUGAUACUGAGGGGCUCGAGUCCGGGAGAGGUGUGUGGAACUGCGAGUGUAGAGGUGAAAUUCGUAGAUAUUCGCAAGAACACCAGUGGCGAAGGCGGCUCACUGGCCCGGUACUGACGCUGAGGUGCGAAAGCGUGGGGAGCAAACAGG